rnacentral:rRNA from 1 species
GAUGAACGCUGGCGGCGUGCCUAAUACAUGCAAGUCGAGCGAACGGACGAGAAGCUUGCUUCUCUGAUGUUAGCGGCGGACGGGUGAGUAACACGUGGAUAACCUACCUAUAAGACUGGGAUAACUUCGGGAAACCGUAGCUAAUACCGGAUAAUAUUUUGAACCGUAUGGUUCAAAAGUGAAAGACGGUCUUGCUGUCACUUAUAGAUGGAUCCGCGCUGCAUUAGCUAGUUGGUAAGGUAACGGCUUACCAAGGCAACGAUGCAUAGCCGACCUGAGAGGGUGAUCGGCCACACUGGAACGGGAACACGGUCCAGACUCCUAAGGGAGGCAGCAGUAGGGAAUCGUCCGCAAUGGGCGAAAGCCUGACGGAGCGGCGCCGCGUGAGUGAUGAAGGUCUUCGGAUCGUAAAACUCUGUUAUUAGGGAAGAACAUAUGCGUAAGUAACUGUGCACAUCUUGACGGUACCUAAUCAGAAAGCCACGGCUAACUACGUG